rnacentral:rRNA from 1 species
UGUGUAGGCGGCUUUGUAAGAUAGCGGUGAAAUACCUGGGCUUAACCUAGGAACUGCCGUUAUUACUAUAGAGCUAGAGUGAUAGAGAGGAUAUUGGAAUACCCAGUGUAGAGGUGAAAUUCGUAGAUAUUGGGUAGAACACCGGUGGCGAAGGCGAGUAUCUGGCUAUCAACUGACGCUGAGGCAUGAAAGAUGGGGAUGAAAC